GCGCAGCCUGAGCAGCACGCCGCGUGGGGGAUGAAGGCCUUCGGGUUGUAAACCCCUUUUAGCAGGGAAGAAGCGAAAGUGACGGUACCUGCAGAAAAAGCGCCGGCUAACUACGUGCCAGCAGCCGCGGUAAUACGUAGGGCGCAAGCGUUGUCCGGAAUUAUUGGGCGUAAAGAGCUCGUAGGCGGUUUGUCGCGUCUGCUGUGAAAGUCCGAGGCUCAACCUCGGAUCUGCAGUGGGUACGGGCAGACUAGAGUGUGGUAGGGGAGACUGGAAUUCCUGGUGUAGCGGUGGAAUGCGCAGAUAUCAGGAGGAACACCAAUGGCGAAGGCAGGUCUCUGGGCCACAACUGACGCUGAGGAGCGAAAGCGUGGGUAGCAAACAGGAUUAGAUACCCUGGUAGUCCACGCCGUAAACGGUGGGCACUAGAUGUGGGGCUCUUUCCAUGAGUUCCGCGUCGCAGCUAACGCAUUAAGUGCCCCGCCUGGGGAGUACGGCCGCAAGGCUAAAACUCAG
rnacentral:rRNA from 1 species